UGGGGAAUAUUGCACAAUGGGCGCAAGCCUGAUGCAGCCAUGCCGCGUGUAUGAAGAAGGCCUUCGGGUUGUAAAGUACUUUCAGCGGGGAGGAAGGGAGUAAAGUUAAUACCUUUGCUCAUUGACGUUACCCGCAGAAGAAGCACCGGCUAACUCCGUGCCAGCAGCCGCGGUAAUACGGAGGGUGCAAGCGUUAAUCGGAAUUACUGGGCGUAAAGCGCACGCAGGAGGUUUGUUAAGUCAGAUGUGAAAUCCCCGGGCUCAACCUGGGAACUGCAUCUGAUACUGGCAAGCUUGAGUCUCGUAGAGGGGGGUAGAAUUCCAGGUGUAGCGAUGAAAUGCGUAGAGAUCUGGAGGAAUACCGGUGGCGAAGGCGGCCCCCUGGACGAAGACUGACGCUCAGGUGCGAAAGCGUGGGGAGCAAACAGG
rnacentral:rRNA from 1 species